GCGAUCGCCACCGAGCUAGAAGCUGAAAUGAGGUCACGCUAAAUCAACCAAUAAGCACGUUUGAUUUCAUCUGCCCCGUAUCAAUAAAUAAUACACGAUACGAGAUAUGAAACAUGGCCAGUAGUCAAAGUGCAGGCAGCCAGUUGAAUGGUGAAUUUACGCUACUGUGUUAAACUCAUUUAUUUGUGAAUGUGACUUUGAAAGAGUCAGUGCCUCCCAGCCGGACCUCACCGCACGUCACGGCAGCCAUUGUGUUGUGAAUGAAGAAACGUAGACGGAUAAUUGCGUCGAGUUACGGAAGCAGUAAAGUUCGCUGAGCUGGGAACUGCGGUCGUGACCGGCCAGCCGGCAGCGGCACGUGCCCAACGUCAGCGGACAUUUCCUAGUUGGUGGAAGACGGAACUGAACGAUCUCGAAGGAAGAACCACCUGAAAGAUGCUCCCCUCCGUCUCUCCCACUGAAGCUGAAGGAAACAACUCUUAGAGCAGCGCUGGACUGCGCUUCUUCAGAAAAGGGAGGGGGUUUGUGGCUGCGUAUACUUGAAUCAAUACAGCGGCUCUUCAAUCGGAAGCAAAGGAGCUGAGUGGGCGAGAGGUUCUUGCACAUACGGUUGUUAUGUUCUGAGGUUAAGUGGAUGUGCGUGCACCUCAAGUAUAGUAUGUUCAAGUAAUUCCUGUCCUGAACCAUUAUAGAGGGCUGAGAAUGGCUACUACUUUCAGGGUAUGUUGUGUAUCAAUAAAUAACAGAUGUCCAGUUACAGUAAAUUCUGAGAUCCCGCCUUUGUAAUUGGUUUUGACUCAGAUCAUCAGAGUGAGGAUCAUCUCCUCAUCAAUCAAUUCCUGCAAAGCAUACAUACUCCUCUGAAAGCACCUGUUGUUCCCUAAAUAGAGCAGCCAUCCGUUUAGUGCUGUACUUUGUCUGAUUGAGCUCCAAAUGUUAAUAUUUUAAAAUGGAUAUUUGUACUCAAAGGCUCCGUCUUUCCUGCUCCCUCUGUCGUCUCCAAAGCCACCGACAACCCC
ensembl:lncRNA